UACAGAGGUCUCAAGCGUCGUUCGGAUUCAUUGGGCGUAAAGGGUGCGUAGGUGGUGCUGUAAGUCAGGUGUGAAAUCCCGGGGCUCAACCCCGGAACUGCACUUGAUACUGUAGUGCUUGAGGACUGGAGAGGAGAUCGGAAUUCAUGGUGUAGCAGUGAAAUGCGUAGAUAUCAUGAGGAAGACCAGUGGCGAAGGCGGAUCUCUGGACAGUUCCUGACACUGAGGCACGAAGGCCAGGGGAGCAAACGGG
rnacentral:rRNA from 1 species